AAACUUUCAACAACGGAUCUCUUGGUUCUGGCAUCGAUGAAGAACGCAGCGAAAUGCGAUAAGUAAUGUGAAUUGCAGAAUUCAGUGAAUCAUCGAAUCUUUGAACGCACAUUGCGCCGCUCAGCAUUCUGGCUGGCAUGCCUGUUCGAGCGUCAUUU
rnacentral:rRNA from 1 species